GCGGGAGUGGCGAAAUUGGUAGACGCACCAGAUUUAGGUUCUGGCGCCGCAAGGUGUGCGAGUUCAAGU
rnacentral:tRNA from 1 species